AGUCAAGUAAUUAAGUGCAUGUGGUGGAUGCCUUGGCAGUCAGAGGCGAUGAAAGACGUGAUAGCCUGCGAAAAGCUCCGGGGAGGCGGCAAAUAUCCUUUGAUCCGGAGAUGUCUGAAUGGGGGAACCCACCUACUUUAAGGUAGGUAUUGCAACAUGAAUACAUAGUGUUGCAAGGCGAACGAGGGGAAGUGAAACAUCUCAGUACCCUUAGGAAAAGAAAUCAAUUGAGAUUCCCUCAGUAGCGGCGAGCGAACGGGGAUCAGCCCAUUAAGUUAUGUGUGUUUUAGUGGAACGCUCUGGGAAGUGCGAACGUAGAGGGUGAUAUUCCCGUACACGAAAGGGCACACAUAAUGAUGACGAGUAGGGCGAGGCACGUGAAACCUUGUCUGAAUAUGGGGGGACCAUCCUCCAAGGCUAAAUACUCCUGACUGACCGAUAGUGAACCAGUACCGUGAGGGAAAGGCGAAAAGAACCCCUGUGAGGGGAGUGAAAUAGAUCCUGAAACCGCAUGCAUACAAGCAGUGGGAGCACCUUCGUGGUGUGACUGCGUACCUUUUGUAUAAUGGGUCAGCGACUUAUAUUCAGUAGCGAGGUUAACCGUAUAGGGGAGCCGUAGAGAAAUCGAGUCUUAAUAGGGCGUUUAGUUGCUGGGUAUAGACCCGAAACCAGGCGAUCUAUCCAUGAGCAGGUUGAAGGUUGGGUAACACUAACUGGAGGACCGAACCCACUGUCGUUGAAAAGCCAGGGGAUGACUUGUGGAUAGGGGUGAAAGGCUAAUCAAGCCUGGUGAUAGCUGGUUCUCCCCGAAAGCUAUUUAGGUAGCGCCUCGGACGAAUACCAUAGGGGGUAGAGCACUGUUUCGGCUAGGGGGUCAUCCCGACUUACCAAACCGAUGCAAACUCCGAAUACCUAUGAGUACUAUCCGGGAGACAGACUGCGGGUGCUAACGUCCGUAGUCAAGAGGAAAACAAUCCAGACCGCCAGCUAAGGCCCCAAAAUCAUAGUUAAGUGGGAAACGAUGUGGGAAGGCAUAGACAGCUAGGAGGUUGGCUUAGAAGCAGCCACCCUUUAAAGAAAGCGUAAUAGCUCACUAGUCGAGUCGGCCUGCGCGGAAGAUGUAACGGGGCUAAAACUAUGUGCCGAAGCUGCGGAUNNNNNNNGCGAAUGCUGACGUGAGUAACGACAAAACGGGUGAAAAACCCGUUCGCCGAAAGACCAAGGGUUCCAGUCCAACGUUAAUCGGGGCUGGGUGAGUCGACCCCUAAGGCGAGGCCGAAAGGCGUAGUCGAUGGGAAAAUGGUUAAUAUUCCAUUACUUCUGUGUAAUGCGAUGAGAGGACGGAGAAGGCUAAAUCAGCCUGGCGUUGGUUGUCCAGGUGAAAGGAUGUAGGCAUGUAUCUUAGGCAAAUCCGGGGUACUCUAUGCUGAGAUCUGAUAGCAAGCUGUACUUGUACAGCGAAGUGGUUGAUGCCAUGCUUCCAGGAAAAGUCUCUAAGCUUCAGUUACACAGGAAUCGUACCCGAAACCGACACAGGUGGUCAGGUCGAGUAGACCAAGGCGCUUGAGAGAACUCUGCUGAAGGAACUAGGCAAAAUGGUACCGUAACUUCGGGAGAAGGUACGCUGUUGUUGGUGAUGGAACUCGCUUCCUGAGCUGACGACAGCCGCAGAAACCAGGCCGCUGCAACUGUUUAUUAAAAACAUAGCACUCUGCAAACACGAAAGUGGACGUAUAGGGUGUGAUGCCUGCCCGGUGCUGGAAGGUUAAUUGAUGGGGUUAGCGUAAGCGAAGCUCUUGAUCGAAGCCCCAGUAAACGGCGGCCGUAACUAUAACGGUCCUAAGGUAGCGAAAUUCCUUGUCGGGUAAGUUCCGACCUGCACGAAUGGCAUAAUGAUGGCGGCGCUGUCUCCAGCAGAGGCUCAGUGAAAUCGAAAUCGCUGUGAAGAUGCAGUGUACCCGCGGCUAGACGGAAAGACCCCGUGAACCUUUACUGCAGCUUGACACUGAACUUUGACCUUACUUGUGUAGGAUAGGUGGGAGGCUUUGAAGCUGGAACGCUAGUUCCAGUGGAGCCGUCCUUGAAAUACCACCCUGGUAAUGUUGAGGUUCUAACUCUGUCCCGUGAUCCGGGACGAGGACCGUGUCUGGUGGGUAGUUUGACUGGGGCGGUCUCCUCCUAAAGAGUAACGGAGGAGUACGAAGGUGCGCUCAGCGUGGUCGGAAAUCACGCGUAGAGUAUAAAGGCAAAAGCGCGCUUAACUGCGAGACCCACAAGUCGAGCAGGUACGAAAGUAGGUCUUAGUGAUCCGGUGGUUCUGUAUGGAAGGGCCAUCGCUCAACGGAUAAAAGGUACUCUGGGGAUAACAGGCUGAUACCGCCCAAGAGUUCAUAUCGACGGCGGUGUUUGGCACCUCGAUGUCGGCUCAUCUCAUCCUGGGGCUGAAGCAGGUCCCAAGGGUAUGGCUGUUCGCCAUUUAAAGAGGUACGCGAGCUGGGUUUAGAACGUCGUGAGACAGUUCGGUCCCUAUCUACCGUGGGCGCUGGAAAUUUGAGAGGAUCUGCUCCUAGUACGAGAGGACCAGAGUGGACGAACCUCUGGUGUACCGGUUGUGACGCCAGUCGCAUCGCCGGGUAGCUAUGUUCGGAAGGGAUAACCGCUGAAAGCAUCUAAGCGGGAAGCCUACCUCAAGAUAAGAUUUCCCUAGGACUUUAUGUCCUCUAAAGAGCCGUUCGAGACUAGGACGUUGAUAGGUUGGAUGUGGAAGCAUAGUGAUAUGUGAAGCUGACCAAUACUAAUUGCUCGUGAGGCUUGACUAU
rnacentral:rRNA from 1 species